ACAUUCUUCUUAAUCGCUCACUUCAUUUAAAAACACAUUUGGCACCUGUAUCAGCCUUUUCUAAUUAUCUCAACAAUUGCCGUAUUAUAUUCAUCAAACUUCUAAUGAUAUGAACAACAGUCUUCAUACAGCAAUAUAACAGUAACAAUGACUGUCACAUGAGUAAUAACACAAAAAUAAAUGGU